rnacentral:rRNA from 1 species
UUUCGACCUCAGAUCAAGCGAGAUU